rnacentral:rRNA from 1 species
CAGAUUGAACGCUGGCGGCGUGCUUACACAUGCAAGUCGAUCGGUAACAGGUGUAGCAAUACAUGCUGACGAGAGGCGGACGGGUGAGGAACGCUUGGGAAUCUGCCUGUCAGCGGGGGACAACCCGGGGAAACUCGGGCUAAUACCGCAUACGCUCUACGGAGGAAAGCCGGGGACCGCAAGGCCUGGCACUGAUAGAUGAGCCCAAGUCGGAUUAGCUAGUUGGCGGGGUAACGGCCCACCAAGGCUACGAUCCGUAGCUGGUCUGAGAGGACGAUCAGCCACACCGGAACUGAGACACGGUCCGGACUCCUACGGGAGGCAGCAGUGGGGAAUAUUGGACAAUGGGGGAAACCCUGAUCCAGCGACGCCGCGUGGGUGAAGAAGGCCUGCGGGUUGUAAAGCCCUUUCGGUAGGGACGAAAACUCUUGCCUUAACAAGGCAGGAGCUUGACUUAACCUACAUAAGAAGCACCGGCUAACUCUGUGCCAGCAGCCGCGGUAAUACAGAGGGUGCGAGCGUUAAUCGGAAUUACUGGGCGUAAAGCGCACGUAGGCGGCUUUGUAAGUCGGAUGUGAAAUCCCCGGGCUCAACCUGGGAACUGCACCCGAAACUACAUUGCUAGAGUAUGGGAGAGGGAGGCGGAAUUUCCGGUGUAGCAGUGAAAUGCGUAGAUAUCGGAAGGAACAUCAGUGGCGAAGGCGGCCUCCUGGACCAAUACUGACGCUCAGGUGCGAAAGCGUGGGGAGCAAACAGGAUUAGAUACCCUGGUAGUCCACGCCCUAAACGAUGAGAACUGGAUGUCGGGAGGGUUUGCCUUCCGGUGUCGUAGCUAACGCGAUAAGUUCUCCGCCUGGGAAGUACGGCCGCAGGUUGAAACU